GCGCACGUGGCGGAAUUGGUAGACGCGCUAGGUUGAGGGCCUAGUGGGAAGUUUUCCCUUGGAGGUUCGAUUCCUCUCGUGUGCA
rnacentral:tRNA from 1 species